UUCUCUCUUUUGCUUCUCUAGUCCUAGAAGAAGGGUUUCAGAUACUUGCCCCACUUUCUGAUCUCUGGAUUGUACCAUUUCCUAGUGUUUCCUGUAACCCUUUCUAACGAUUUUUAGAUAUAUUUCUGUACCAAAUUUUCUUCUGUUUGAAAUACUUAAAGUGGUUUCUAUGUUUUUGACCAGAUCCUGGCUGAUGGAUAUAAUGAAGGCAUGAACUAUACUAGUUGAACAAGGAAAUGAACUUGAACCAAAUUGUGAAGGUCUCUGCAGUGAAAUAUUAAAGAUUAGCAAGCUAAACAGAGAAAAAGAUAACACUCAAGAAGCUGCCUAUAUGUAAGAGAUUCCUUUGAGAACUUUCAAAUGGCUCCUUUCUACAAAAGACCUGGGAAUACUUAACCCCCCACCACUAGCACACUCAAAGCUCAAGGCAAAUGCAUUUUCAAGAUUGACAGGGUCUUGGACUCUGAAAGUCUUUGGACCCGAGAAAAAUCGUAUUAUCUAAGAGUGCAGUUAUUCUGACACAGACUGACAUCAGGUGCCCGUGACAUGAAACACGGAAGAGAAUAAUAGCAUCUACCUUAUAGGAAGACAUACUAUAUUCUGGACCACAUAUCUGAUAAUUCUUACAGCCCUUUAAAGAUAAUCAUAACUAGAAUAUUAUCUUAUUUUGUAGCUCAUAGAUGUCAAAAGACUAGCUCAUAAUUUUAUUGUGGAUCAUAGCAGAACCAAGAUUUGAACUCAGACCUGUCUCAUUCCACAACUCAUUUUCCUUGAAGUCAAUAGAUGCCACUCAUAUCUAAAUACCUACAAAACGGGCUCGGAGGUGGAGAGGGGAUGUCUGAGGAGCCUUAGGACUACCACCCAAUGUUCUGUCUUUAGAUAGAGAUGCUAUCACCAAUCUCUCACACAUACUCCUCCUCAUCUCAUUUCUGUUCAUGUACUUGGUUCUCAAUGUAAGAUUUUGUUAGAAGAAAGAGGCAUGUUGGUAAAAUAAGAAAUAAUAUAUCAAAAAUAAAUUUUUUUGGAAGUCUCUG
rnacentral:lncRNA from 1 species